rnacentral:lncRNA from 1 species
UUCUGCUGGAUUGUGUCGAGUUGCUGAUUCAUGUUUGGUGACACUUUUGAACUAGACUGUUGCACCCACCUCGGCCGGCAAGGAAGACACAACAUGGUCGGAUUCUUCUCAACAGCCUUUAUUGCAGAAACACCUCGAUACUGCUACAGGGACCCCAGGAACCCAGGGAGGUAUGCUCAUAUACACUCAGCCCUCAUCCAUUCAUGGCAGGCCAUGUCAUCUCACCAUGCACGCAGCUUCAGCCAAUCAGGACGGCAGGGGCAUGUCUCCACCAAAUAUGGACUUGUUUACACCGCCAGCAUCAUGGUGCACCUGCGCAGCUCUCACGAUAGUCGUGGCUUAUUUUCAGGUGUAUGAGGAAGUCAGGUGCACGUCAUAAGACUUAGCUGCAGUCCCGGGCGCCAUCUUGGGACUGCUGCCACACCCUCUCCUCACAUCUCCCCCUUUUUUCUUUUUUGGUAGAGAGAAUGUCUGUCUUAGAUUGCCCCCUGCAGCAAUGCCCCUUACCCGUCCUUGGGAGACAAACAGCAUUGGUUUGAUUCCUGUCUUAGGUUGGUGACACGCCCAGGGAGUCUUAUCCAUCAUUGACUACUUCUCUAUCAUGCCAAGCCACACUUGAGGAGAUUGUCCUGUCUGCAUGCGGCAGGUGCACCAGAAGGCCAGGACGCUGAUUAAUCUAUGGCCCAAUUUUGAUUGCUGCAAGCAAGCCUCAUGGGUGAAGC